UACGGAGGGGGCUAGCGUUGUUCGGAAUUACUGGGCGUAAAGCGCACGUAGGCGGCUUUGUAAGUUAGAGGUGAAAGCCCAGGGCUUAACCCUGGAAUUGCCUUUAAGACUGCAUCGCUAGAAUCGUGGAGAGGUGAGUGGAAUUCCGAGUGUAGAGGUGAAAUUCGUAGAUAUUCGGAGGAACACCAGUGGCGAAGGCGACUCACUGGACACGUAUUGACGCUGAGGUGCGAAAGCGUGGGGAGCAAACAGG
rnacentral:rRNA from 1 species